GAUGAACGCUAGCGGGAGGCCUAACACAUGCAAGCCGAGCGGUAGAGUCUCUUCGGAGCCUUGAGAGCGGCGCACGGGUGCGGAACACGUGUGCAACCUGCCUUUAUCUGGGGGAUAGCCUUUCGAAAGGAAGAUUAAUACCCCAUAAUAUACUGGAUGGCAUCAUCUGGUAUUGAAAACUCCGGUGGAUAGAGAUGGGCACGCGCAAGAUUAGAUAGUUGGUGAGGUAACGGCUCACCAAGUCAGCGAUCUUUAGGGGGCCUGAGAGGGUGAUCCCCCACACUGGUACUGAGACACGGACCAGACUCCUACGGGAGGCAGCAGUGAGGAAUAUUGGACAAUGGGUGAGAGCCUGAUCCAGCCAUCCCGCGUGAAGGACGACGGCCCUAUGGGUGGUAAACUUCUUUUGUAUAGGGAUAAACCUAGAUACGUGUAUCUAGCUGAAGGUACUAUACGAAUAAGCACCGGCUAACUCCGUG
rnacentral:rRNA from 1 species